rnacentral:rRNA from 1 species
UGGGGAAUAUUGCACAAUGGACGGAAGUCUGAUGCAGCGACGCCGCGUGGGGGAUGAAGGCUUUCGGGUUGUAAACUCCUUUCAGUACAGAAGAAGCUUUAUUGUGACGGUAUGUGCAGAAGAAGCCCCGGCUAACUACGUGCCAGCAGCCGCGGUAAUACGUAGGGGGCUAGCGUUGUCCGGAAUCACUGGGCGUAAAGGGUUCGCAGGCGGAAAUGCAAGUCAGGUGUAAAAGGCAGUAGCUUAACUACUGUAAGCAUUUGAAACUGCAUAUCUUGAGAAGAGUAGAGGUAAGUGGAAUUUUUAGUGUAGCGGUGAAAUGCGUAGAUAUUAAAAAGAAUACCGGUGGCGAAGGCGACUUACUGGGCUCAUUCUGACGCUGAGGAACGAAAGCGUGGGUAGCAAACAGG